rnacentral:rRNA from 1 species
AGUUUGAUCAUGGCUCAGGAUGAACGCUAGCGGCAGGCUUAACACAUGCAAGUCGAGGGUAGAGGAAGCUUGCUUCCUUGAGACCGGCGCACGGGUGCGUAACGCGUAUGCAAUCUACCUUAUACAGGGGGAUAGCCCAGAGAAAUUUGGAUUAAUACCCCAUAGUAUAAUUGAAUGGCAUCAUUUGAUUAUUAAAGUUCCAACGGUAUAAGAUGAGCAUGCGUCCCAUUAGCUAGUUGGUGUGGUAACGGCACACCAAGGCGACGAUGGUAGGGGUCCUGAGAGGAGAUCCCCCACACUGGUACUGAGACACGGACCAGACUCCUACGGGAGGCAGCAGUGAGGAAUAUUGGUCAAUGGGCGCAAGCCUGAACCAGCCAUGCCGCGUGCAGGAUGACGGUCCUAUGGAUUGUAAACUGCUUUUGUACAGGAAGAAACACUCCCUCGUGAGGGAGCUUGACGGUACUGUAAGAAUAAGGAUCGGCUAACUCCGUG